AAUCUUGCGCAAUGGGCGAAAGGCUGACUUAGCCUUGCCGCUUGAUUGAUUUUGGGCUUAGGAUUGUAAAAUUCUUUUCCUGGGGACGAUAAUGACGUUACCCGUAGAAGAACCCCCGUCUAACUUCGUCCCAGCAGCCGCGGUAACACGAAGGGGGCUAGCGUUGCUCGGAAUUACUGGGCGUAAAGGGCGCGUAGGCGGACAUUUAAGUCAGGGGUGAAAUCCCAGAGCUCAACUCUGGAACUGCCUUUGAUACUGGGUGUCUUGAGUGUGAGAGAGGUAUGUGGAACUCCGAGUGUAGAGGUGAAAAUCAUAGAUAUUCGGAAGAACACCAGUGGCGAAGGCGACAUACUGGCUCAUUACUGACGCUGAGGCGCGAAAGCGUGGGGAGCAAACAG
rnacentral:rRNA from 1 species